UAAAAAGACCUGAAUACACCAAAAGUACCAGAUACCAUCUUAUCUUGGAAGCUAAGCAGUAUCACCUCUGGUUAGUAGUUGGAUGGGAUGGGAGACCACCAAUGACUACUAGGUCCUAUUAG
rnacentral:rRNA from 11 species